rnacentral:rRNA from 1 species
UUCUCUGGUUGAUCCUGCCGGCGGUCACCGCUCUUGGAAUCCGACUAAGCCAUGCGAGUCGAGAGGGUUCGGCCCUCGGCGAACUGCUCAGUAACACGUGGAUAAUCUGACCUUAGGUGGAGGAUAACCUCGGGAAACUGAGAAUAAUACUCCAUAGAUCUUUGAGGCUGGAAUGCGCUAAGAUUUAAAGCUUCGGCGCCUAAGGAUGAGUCUGCGGACUAUCAGGUUGUAGUCAGGGUAAAGACCUGACUAGCCUACGACGGAUACGGGUUGUGAGAGCAAUAACCCGGAGAUGAUAUCUGAGACACGAUAUCAGGCCCUACGGGGCGCAGCAGGCGCGAAAACUUCACAAUGCGCGAAAGCGCGAUGAGGGGAUCCCAAGUGCUUGCACGUAAGUGUAAGCUGUUUUUCUGUUUAAAAAGCAGAGAGAGUAAGGGCUGGGUAAGACGGGUGCCAGCCGCCGCGGUAAUACCUGCAGCUCAAGUGGUGGCCGCUAUUAUUGGGCCUAAACGUCCGUAGCCGGCUGAGUAAAUGCCUGGGUAAAUCGUGCCGCUUAACGGUACGAAUUCCGGGUAGACUGCUUAGCUUGGGACCGGAAGAAGUUAGAGGUACUCCUGGGGUAGGGGUGAAAUCCUGUAAUCCUGGGGGGACCACCAGUGGCGAAGGCGUCUAACUAGGACGGGUCUGACGGUGAGGGACGAAGCCCUGGGGAGCAAACGGGAUUAGAUACCCCGGUAGUCCAGGGUGUAAACGCUGCUCGCUUGAUGUUAGUCGGGCUCCGAGCCCAACUAGUGUCGGAGAGAAGUUGUUAAGCGAGCUGCCUGGGAAGUACGGUCGCAAGACUGAAACUUAAAGGAAUUGGCGGG